rnacentral:lncRNA from 1 species
CAUGAAAGAAAUCCAUUGGGAAGAAAUCUUUUCACCGUGUCUUAUCCUUCUUUGCUACUUUAUGUGCUCUCAGCACAGGAUAGAGCGACCUUUUACCGAAGACCAUUGGGCUUGAUGCAUACCAGUGACGAGCACCGACCCUACCCUGAUAUUGAUAUCCAGAACUUCAGAAGGAGUCCGUGAGGAGCUAGGUGCUGUGAAGGGUUCUGGCUGAGAGUCUUUUCUCUGCACUGGUAACACCCGCCCUAGUCCUUGACGAUCAGUACUUUGCUUUGAUGGUGUCGGUACAUCAUCCUGCCAAUUGACAGCCUCACUCUUCCCCCUUUGACAUCAGUAGCAUUUAUUAAGGGUGUAAAAGGUGGACCCCGAGUUGCUGCUAUCGGAUGAAAGUGGCAUGGGUCAGGUCAAGUCAUGGGUAUUUUGGGCUGCAGUGACCAUGUACAUACUCAAUGUGCAAUGUGGUGUGUUGACAGGCAUAAUGCAUAUGGGCCAAUCUCCAGGAGAUGGUGUCCCAGGAGAAUCUCUUCCUUCACCAGGUACCACAAUGCCCCACCAGAUGUCACUCAAGCAGUCCAACAUCGGAGCAAUGUUUUGGUUUUCCGCUACUGCAUCAGUCGUGUCAAGCGCUUGCGCUCAGCUUUCUUGGUGAUGAGCACAUGCACCUCACCGCAACAGCGAGUGCUUGGUGUGCCUCACCCACUGGAAUUGCGAUAUCAGUACUCACACUUUCAGCCUGACAGUCAGACAGUCACAUUUUCUGAUUAGAUCUGCUAUUUUGGCCCAGUGCCUGACAUUCAGGUCAUCCUGUCCAAAGGACUUUUGCACACGCCCCUUGCACACACCCCAAAGGUCUCUUAGGAGGCAUAUUGCCUGCAAACCGAGCCCCAUCCCCUGGCGCACCCGGGCGGCCCUGCAUCACACAAUUCCACCGCAACCCUGACCCUAGCAUUAUACACCCCUGGCGCUUGAUUUCACCACCCCUGUUGUCACCCCCAGGCCUGGAGAGCGCCGCGUCGGAGCAGGCGUCCUUCUCGGAGCGGGACAGCGACGCCGAUCUGGCCGAGCGGCACGCGGCGGCCGUGGCGGCGGCGGCCGCAAAUGCGCGUCCGAUGGGAUUAGUCGAGCGCAUGGACUCGGCAAACUACCAGCCGCGGCCGCCCGCUAUGACCGAGCGGCAGGACUCUGCGCAGAACCUUCAGGUGCAGUGAG